GAACGCAGAAGAACGCAAAAAAUGGAUACAAUUCAAGUUUGACAAUUUUGUAUAUUUCAACUUUAUCAAGCAAAACUAUCGAGGAAUACCUUUCUCACAAGAAACUGUCUUAUUAACGAAUUGUCAGAACAAUAUAUAUAGUUGUGAUUUCUAACAUUUUUAGUAAAGAAAUCCUGAUAAAUCCGCUUCGUAUACUGCUUCAUGGAUUUACUGCGGUCGACCGCGCGUUUUUUCUUCAGAUAUGAAUUUUGUUGUUGGGCACAUUAAAACGUAGAAAACGUCGAGAUGAUGCAUAGAAGAGGUGGUAAGCGAAUCCGGAUGGAUGAUCCGGUGCCGCCAGAGUACGAGACACCAAUGACGCCUAUGACUCCGAUGAAUGACAAUUCCGGCGGAGACGCAAAUGACUCUUACAAUGCUUACACACCUUAUCAAGCGUCUCAGACUCCGCUACAUAAUCCCACUCCAGAACAUUACUCUUCUGAGAGCUACAGUUCACCGGGCACAUCUCAACAGCAAUAUCAGGAGCAGGGCAAUUUUGACAAUCAAACCCAAUUUGAGGCUCCUAUGACGCCUGCUGCUUCCAACAUGAGGAUUACAAGGAACACACGUGCCAGGAUGCGUGGAGGCAUAGUGCAGCAACCCAAAUACAAAGAGAUUGAUACGGAUUAUACUCCAACAUCUAGCAGCAGAGGAAGAGGUGGUGGGGGACGAGGACGAGGCAAAAGGGCGCAUCAUUCGCAUAGUCUGGAAGAUGAAGCUAGUCUCUACUAUGUUAUUAGAAAUAAUCGUUCGUCACUCACUACUAUUGUUGAUGAUUGGAUAGAAAAAUAUAAGGGUAACAGGGAAAAUGCCCUGCUUAUGCUUAUGCAAUUUUUCAUUAAUGCAAGUGGUUGCAAAGGUCGUAUCACUUCUGAGAUGCAACUGACUAUGGAACAUGUGGCGAUUAUUCGCAAAAUGACUGAAGAAUUUGAUGAAGAAAGUGGUGAAUAUCCAUUGAUAAUGACUGGACAACAGUGGAAAAAGUUUCGUGCAAAUUUCUGUGAAUUCGUUCAAAUUCUCGUCCGUCAAUGUCAGUAUUCUAUUAUCUAUGAUCAGUUUUUGAUGGAUAACGUUAUUUCUUUACUAACUGGACUCUCGGAUUCCCAAGUAAGAGCAUUUAGGCAUACUGCAACUCUUGCAGCCAUGAAAUUAAUGACAGCUCUAGUAGAUGUUGCCUUGACUGUAUCUAUAAAUUUGGACAAUACACAGCGUCAAUACGAAGCGGAAAGACAGAAGGCCCGAGAAAAAAGAGCAGCAGAUAGAUUAGAAUCUUUGAUGGCAAAGCGAAAAGAGUUAGAAGAGAAUAUGGAUGAAAUAAAAAAUAUGCUGACAUAUAUGUUCAAGUCUGUUUUCGUUCAUAGAUAUAGGGAUACUUUGCCGGAAAUACGUGCGAUUUGUAUGGCGGAAAUUGGAGUCUGGAUGAAAAAGUUUCAUCAAAAUUUUUUAGAUGAUUCAUAUUUGAAAUAUAUUGGUUGGACUUUGCAUGAUAAAGUCGGAGAAGUUAGGCUCAAGUGCCUUCAGGCGUUGCAACCGCUAUACGCUUCAGAGGAAUUGAAAACGAAACUCGAGUUGUUUACAAGCAAAUUUAAAGAUAGAAUUGUGGCGAUGACAUUGGACAAGGAAUACGAUGUAGCGGUACAGGCUGUAAAACUGGUUAUCUCAAUCUUAAAGCAUCACAGGGAAAUUCUCACUGAUAAAGACUGUGAACAUGUGUACGAACUUGUUUAUUCAUCGCAUCGCGCGGUUGCGCAGGCAGCCGGAGAAUUUCUGAACGAACGUUUAUUCCGUCCGGAAGACGAAGCCGUGGUGGAUGUUAAGACCAGACGCGGCAAGAAGCGAUUGCCGAAUACGCCUCUUAUACGCGAUCUUGUUCUAUUCUUCAUCGAAUCCGAAUUGCAUGAGCAUGGAGCGUAUUUGGUUGACUCCUUAAUCGAAACUAAUCAAAUGAUGAAGGAUUGGGAAUGUAUGACAGAUCUCUUGCUGGAGGAGGCUGGUCCCGACGAGGAAGCGUUGGAUAAUCAGAAGGAAACAUCCCUUAUCGAAUUAAUGGUAUGUUGCAUAAAGCAAGCUGCUACAGGCGAAGCACCUGUAGGUCGCGGACCCACUCGGAAAAUUUUGUCGGUGAAAGAACUUAAACAAGUUCACGAUGAUAAGCAAAAACUGACAGAACAUUUCAUUCAAACAUUACCACUAUUACUUGACAAGUACAGAGCAGAUCCUGAGAAAUUAGCAAACUUGCUGGCAAUUCCACAAUAUUUUGAUUUAGAUAUUUAUACAAAAUCUAGACAGGAGAUAAACUUAGAUUCUUUAUUAACUAAGAUCCAUGUGAUUGUUGAAAAAAUGCAUGAUAACGAGGUUUUAGAUACGGCGGCUAAAACUUUAGAACAUAUGUGUGUAGAAGGCCAUGCUAUUUUUACCAGAUGUGAUGUCGCUCGUUCCACUUUGAUCGACUCCAUUGUAAAUAAAUAUAAGGAAGCGAUCGAUGAAUAUAGAAAUUUGAUUGAGGGGGAUGAGGAGCCAGAUGAAGAUGAAAUAUUUAAUGUCGUCCAAUCACUCAAAAAAGUUUCUAUAUUUUAUUCUUGUCACAAUAUGAAUCCAUGGGGCAUAUGGGACUCAUUAUAUAAAGAUAUAGAAGAUGCAAAGGAUCCUUCAAAAUGUUUACCAUCAACUGCAGUUAAAUAUUGUAUAAGUGCAUGCUUCUUUGCCAUUUUGUGGGGCCAAAAUCAUUUGAUGGAAGCUGUAGAUUCGGGCAGCCACGGUGAGGAUGAAUGUCGGCAAUUGAAAGAACGAUUGCACUCUUUUAUGGGUUCAAUGCGCCAUUUCGUCAAUGGCGAUACGCCUUCACCACCGAUUUUAAGGGAAGAUGCAUAUAAUACUAUAUGUGACUUAUUAGUAAUAUUCUGCAAUCAACUCACUACGCAUAGUAAUCCUCUGAUGCAUCAAUUAGUGUAUGAGCCUGACCAAGCAAUGCAAAAUAUGCUCAAUAGAUUUAUACAAGAAUACGUCUUCUUUGAAGAGGAGGAUGAUGAACACGAUGAACAUUCUAAAAUCGAGGAACUGCAUAAAAGAAGAAAUUUCUUAGCUGGCUAUUGUAAAUUGAUCGUCUAUAAUAUGAUUCCUACGAAAGCCGCAGCCGAUGUAUUUAAGCAUUACGUUAAAUAUUAUAACGAUUAUGGCGAUAUUAUUAAGACCACAUUAGGAAAAGCAAGAGAUAUCAACAAAACAAAUUGCGCGCUCACAAUGCAACAAAGCUUAAAUAUUUUGUAUAACGAGAUAGUGGCCGAGAAGGGCAAAGUGAAUAGAAAUAGUGAAGAGUUCACCGCAAUCAAGGAACUGGCAAAGCGAUUUGCUUUGUCCUUCGGCUUGGAUGCCGUGAAAAAUCGCGAAGCAAUUACAGCCUUGCACCGUGCGGGCGUAUUAUUCGCCAUUACUCCACCAGAUGGUAUCGAACAAGAUCCUACAGGUCCACCACCGAAUUUACCAUUCCUCGAGAUACUGUCAGAAUUUACGAAUAAGCUUCUCAAACAGGAUAAACGUGUUGUACUCAAUUUUCUGGACAGACGAUUACAAGCUGGAAUGCCAUCUUCACGAGGAGAAGAUUGGCAGCCUUUACUCUUAUACAGAAAUAGUUUAUUACAUGGUGAAACUGAUCAAGUUCCAGUGACAAGUAAACGAGCUUACACGAGGCGCAAGAAAGAUCACUUGGCUGAGGAAGAGGAAGCUGAUGAACCUGAUGAAGGUUCUGAUCAUGAGUUUGCAGGCAAGCAAAAAAAAAAGCGUUCACGGAAAAAUCAAUUACCAGUUAAUAAAGUGGUGAUAACACGUGGACCUAGAACAAACACUUUCUAUGAGAAUAAUGACACUACACAAAUGCAAACAUCUCCUUCUACGACUCUAGAAGAUACAGCGACGAGUCCUUUGCAAGAUCUUGAUAAUAGAUUUAAAGCAUUACAAACACAGUCGUCACGAUCACGAAGAAACCAAGAGCAUGUAGAACACAGGGAAUUGCGUAGAACCUCUAGGAACUCGGGCAAAUAUGUCGAGGGGCAAUAUAUGGAAUCUGAUUCUGAGUAAGAAAACAUAGUCUAUAAAAGCUUUAUUUCUUAAAUUUAGACAACUGGAUUGUGAUAUGUGUUCAGGUUUUUGUUCUGGAAGAAGACUUUGGCUAAGACUAUCGUUAAAAUUAUCUUCUACUGGAGAGCCCGUCUAUAAAGAAGAGCAAAACUAUACACAUAUGAAAACAUGCAUAACAUUAGUGUAAAUUACCAAAACAUUUAACAUAUAGAUACAAUAAAUACACAAGACAUAGCAUUGCUUCUUAAUAA